rnacentral:rRNA from 1 species
UGGUUUAAUUCGAAGCAACGCGAAAGAACCUUACCAAGUCUUGACAUCCCGAUGACAAGCUAUGUAAUGUAGCCUCUCUUCGGAGCAUCGGUGACAGGUGGUGCAUGGUUGUCGUCAGCUCGUGUCGUGAGAUGUUGGGUUAAAGUCCCGCAACGAGCGCAACCCCUGUUCUUAGUAGCCAGCGGUUCGGCCGGGCACUCUAGGGAGACUGCCAGGGAUAACCUGGA